rnacentral:rRNA from 1 species
UACGGGAGGUAGCAGUGGGGAAUAUUGCACAAUGGGCGAAAGCCUGAUGCAGCUAUGCCGCGUGUAUGAAGAAGGCCUUAGGGUUGUAAAGUACUUUCAUCGGGGAGGAAAAACAAAACUAAUAAUUUUAUUUCUUGACGUUACCCGAAAAAGAAGCACCGGCUAACUCCGUGCCAGCAGCCGCGGUAAUACGGAGGGUGCUAGCGUUAAUCAGAAUUACUGGGCGUAAAGAGCACGUAGGUGGUUUUUUUAAGUCAGAUGUGAAAUCCCUGGGCUUAACCUAGGAACUGCAUUUUGAAACUGAAAUACUAGAGUAUCGUAGAGGGAGGUAGAAUUCUAGGUGUAGCGGUGAAAUGCGUAGAUAUCUGGAGGAAUACCUGUGGCGAAAGCGGCCUCCUAAACGAAUACUGACACUGAGGGUGCGAAAGCGUGGGGAGCAAACAGGGAUUAGAUACC